rnacentral:lncRNA from 1 species
GAACUCGCCUUUAGAUUCUCACAGCAUUUGCCCUCACCAUAGUUUAUGAAACUUUUGGGAAAAUUGAAUAUUCAGUGAAAGGUCUCCACCAUUGACUGAAGGGUCUCUGGCCAUCCGUUAGGUUGAUGUGUAAGCAGCACAGUGGUCUCCGAUACAGAGGCCCGUCGGCCUCUGCUCCCAGGCUCGUCAACCCAGCUGUUACACCACUGGUGCAGAAGAUGCCUUGUGCAUCCUGACCACAGGACAUCACAUUCGCUGGUUCUUUAAUGCAGUUGCCAUGACCUCCCACCUCUUUCAGCCAGCCAUACCCUUGAAGCAGCCCUCAGAUUAUAUGAAAAACCUCACCUCUGGAGGAUGGAUUCAGAGACUAGAUGAGGCAUAGAAUACUAUUGGUAUGUGUGCAAUUGCAUAAAUAUUAAAUUAUGUUUUUGAAGUCCAUUUUCAUUCCUGGAGCUCAGAGUUCAUUUGCUGUUGCUGUAUACUUUAUUUACCCAAGGACAUCGCCUCAGGGUUGCAAGCUCUUUAAGGAGAUUUUAUGCUUAUAUCCAUGUAUUAUAU